AAGAAAAAAGACAUCUAAUGGUAAGUAUGUUUUUUUUUUAAAUUUGCAGGUAUUUUGUUUUUUGUUCUCCCCUCACUAUUUUUAGGGUGAGGGGGGUAGGUAGUGUGACAAACUCCCCCUUUUAAGGGAGUUUUCCAUGAGUUUCUGGAGGGGCCUGCUUGCCCACCUCUUGCCCUGUGGAUAUAGCCCAUUGGAUGUAUUGCCCUUUAAAAGCGUUAUUGGGCAUAAUGGAUUUUAGUACACUGCUUCUGGCCCUUUAACUCCUAUGUGAAAGGAUCUGUACUUUUAAACUCGCACUUUGGAUACAGCCGAAGUAGUCGAAGUGGCCGCCAUUCGACAAACAAACACGUGGCGGUGGCCAUUUUAAUUUAGCUGAACGCGGUCAGCGGUGUAUUGCCUUCGAGCUCAUGGAACUAAAAUUGGAUACUUGACGGCACGAACACCGCUGAACUUUUGCCUCCUUUGGAACUUUGAUGCUUCGGCGGGAGUCAAACGGUGUUCAACAAUACGAACGGCACAUUAACACUGCAUAUUUUCACGAACUGCUCCGUUUGUGUAUUCGAACGGUAUUUGAACUGUGGUGAAUGGACCGGCCGCACAGCCAAAAUCUAUGGAACUGUUUUGGGCAGGAAAGCCAUGCUUGCGGUCAGUCAAAUGGGACUUCCCGCUAUCUCCCGAACCACUGAACCGAUUGGCAUGAUUUUUGAGUAUGUUUGUUCCCUAAUUAUGCUGGUUCAGAAAAUGUAAGUUAUGCGAAUGUGAUGUAUAAUUUUGUUAUAGAAAUUGUGUAAAAAGUGUAUUUUUCGCUUGGAGAUAAUUGAGCUGAUACAGUAAUUAGCCCAAUUAUCUCCCAAACAGAGGGGAGGAAUUUAC